rnacentral:rRNA from 1 species
GACGAACGCUGGCGGCGUGCCUAAUACAUGCAAGUAGAACGCUGAAGGAGGAGCUUGCUUCUCCGGAUGAGUUGCGAACGGGUGAGUAACGCGUAGGUAACCUGCCUGGUAGCGGGGGAUAACUAUUGGAAACGAUAGCUAAUACCGCAUAAGAGUAGAUGUCGCAUGACAUUUGCUUAAAAGGUGCAACUGCACCACUACCAGAUGGACCUGCGUUGUAUUAGCUAGUUGGUGAGGUAACGGCUCACCAAGGCAACGAUACAUAGCCGACCUGAGAGGGGGAGCGGCCACACUGGGACUGAGCACAGGCCCAGACCCCCACGGGGGGCAGCAGGAGGGAAAUUUGGGGAAUGGACGGAAGGCUGACCGGGCAACGCCGGGGGGGGUAAGAAGGUUUUCGGGACGUAAAGCUUUUUUGUAAGAGAAGAACGGGUGGGGGGGGGGAAAGUUCACACUUGGGCGGUAUUUUACCAGAAAGGGACGGCUAAAUACG